GGGAGAGCAAAGGUCUAUUGACUUUUGCUUGGAAACUGACAGCAUGCUGUAAGACCUGGCAGACAGGACUGGGCCUCUAUACCCUACCUUCUGACAAUUAAGCACCUAGCUGGAAUUGGGAACAAGCUCCUACGGUGGUUCAAGAAGGAAAGGUGGAUUUGUGUUCAAAAUAAGGAUGCCAGCUGAACAUAAAUAAAAAUACCUUGAGAAACACCCUUCACCUUUGUCUGGCUGGGUUCGCUACAUCCUAUCCCCGCAUCGGCCAGACAAAGAUCAAUCCCACCAGGAAUAGGGUUUCACAUCCCGGAAGCAGAAACGUACACAUGGGUCACUUUCAUCGACUCACUGCGGCCGUGGCCGUUGGUAUCUAUCAUACAGACCGAUGACAGAUCAUGACCAUGGAGGUACAAAUUCAUCCCAAAGAGAAGGACGACGCCGGCAGAAAUCAGCUUCUGCUCCUUUUUUUUAGCAGCCUGGAGUUUUUCAACAUGUUAUCACUUACAUUAAUGCAAUUACAGCAUGGAUUGGAAAUACA